rnacentral:rRNA from 1 species
AUUGAACGCUAGCGGGAUGCCUAACACAUGCAAGUCGAACGAGUGGCGGACGGGUGCGUAAUAUAUCGGAACGUGCCCAGUAGCGGGGUAUCACGACUCGAAAGCGUGGCUAAUACCGCAUACUCUUGGAGCGGCCGAUAUUGGGUUAGCUAGUUGGGGGGGUAAAGGCUCACCAAGGCAACGAUCCCUAGCUGGUUUGAGAGGAGGACCAGCCACACUGGAACUGAGACACGGACCAGACUCCUACGGGGGGCAGCAGUGGGGAAUUUUGGACAAUGGGGGAAAUCCUGAUGCAGCCAUGCCGCGUGGAUGAGAAGGCCUUCGGGUUGUAAAGUACUUUUGGCAGGGAGGCGGUAGCUGCAGAAGAAGCACCGGCUAACUACGUGCCAGCAGCCGCGGUAAUUC